rnacentral:rRNA from 1 species
UACGUAGGGGGCAAGCGUUGUCCGGAUUUAUUGGGCGUAAAGAGCGUGUAGGCGGCCAUGUAGGUCCGUUGUGAAAACUCGAGGCUCAACCUCGAGACGCCGAUGGAAACCAUCUGGCUAGAGUCCGGAAGAGGAGAGUGGAAUUCCCGGUGUAGCGGUGAAAUGCGCAGAUAUCGGGAAGAACACCCGUGGCGAAGGCGGCUCUCUGGGACGGUACUGACGCUGAGACGCGAAAGCGUGGGGAGCGAACAGG